rnacentral:rRNA from 1 species
UACGUAGGGUGCGAGCGUUAAUCGGAAUUACUGGGCGUAAAGCGUGCGCAGGCGGUUUUGUAAGACAGAGGUGAAAUCCCCGGGCUCAACCUGGGAACUGCCUUUGUGACUGCAAGGCUUGAGUGCGGCAGAGGGGGAUGGAAUUCCGCGUGUAGCAGUGAAAUGCGUAGAUAUGCGGAGGAACACCGAUGGCGAAGGCAAUCCCCUGGGCCUGCACUGACGCUCAUGCACGAAAGCGUGGGGAGCAACAGG